AUCGGUAGAGCACUGUAUCUACAGUGCUAUAACAAAAUNUAAAGACUACAUGUAUUCAUAGAAAUACAUUAAGAUGAUCUUUGUCCUACAGAGAAAACACGAGUAUGGUUUUGUAUAGUAAACACGUUUGUUGACAUCAAGCGAGAUUGAAUUAUUUAUUGAUAAUUGUGUUAAAUUUCAUUAAAAAAAUUAUUUGAUAGUUGAUGUUAGUAUUUAACCAUUCUAUUUUUAACAUUAAAAGAUAGAUUAAACUACAAAAUACUAUUCAGUGAUUGAUUUAUUAACACAGAUAAGCUAUUUGGAACGUUUCAGUAAUAAUUUGAUGAAAAGUAUGCCAGUAAAAUAGGAAGACAACAACAAAAGAUCAGUCGCUUCUAGAAGCAAAAUGAAGUAUGAAAGUGGAAUAAAAUCUGUUGACGAAGUGACCAUUAUGUCUUUACUUGCUGAAAAUCUAUCUAUAUGAAAAUCUAUGAGGGCUCAAAUAGAGA
rnacentral:lncRNA from 1 species